rfam:Mycobacterium sp. 1245111.1 contig_129, whole genome shotgun sequence.
CGCGGUCUUCGGUAGUGGCUGCCGAGCUCCCCGAAUCCGGGGUAGGUCGGCCGCUUCGAUCGACGGCCGUC